AUGGUGGUUGAUGCCCUUGCGGCCAUUCUUGACAAGGCCAAAUCGGCCGGUCACAUUCACGGCGUGGUCCACACCGUAGGAGGGGGUGGGGUCUCCCUCCUCCAAUAUGCCGAUGACACCAUAAUAAUGGUUGAGGGCUCCGCGUCCGAUAUUGCCAAUCUGAAGUUUCUCCUCCUAUGCUUCCAACAGAUGUCCGGUCUUACCAUCAACUUCGAUAAGAGCGAAGUGAUGGUUCUGGGAUCCCCCCCGGAGGAGGCCCAGGGCAUUGCGGAACGGCUUAACUGCCGCCUGGGUUCUUUCCCCAUGACUUAUCUGGGGAUCCCCAUUAGUGACUCGCGCGUCACCGUAGCGGACCUUCGCCCUUCCGUAACCCGAAUGCAACACCGGGUCGAGCCCUGGAAGGGUCGAUGGCUCUCGAAGGCGGCGAGGGUAAUCCUCAUCAACUCCUCGUUGGCUAGCCUCCUAUGGUUCCUCAUGAGCUUCUAUAGCCUCCAUGAGACGCUUCACCAGGAGGUGGCCAAAUACCAGUCCAGGUUCUUCUGGGCUGGCGAGGGGGACAAGCAAAAAUACCAUAUGGCGAGGGGGACAAGCGAUGUGAACUAG
rnacentral:rRNA from 1 species